GACGGCUCGGGCAGCGAGUCCAUCGACCUAGACCACCUGGAAGGCCUGAGCUCCGACUCGGAGGACGCGGACCCGGAGCGACCGCGGCGAGCACGCCCGGCGCGCAACCUCUGGCGCAACAACAAGGGCGAGACGCACCUGCACGUGGCCUGCAUGCAGGGCAAGCUGAAGCAGGCGGCCCGGCUGCUGCAGUCGGGUCACCCGGUGAACGCGCGGGACCACUCCGGCUGGUUGCCUCUGCACGAGGCGGCCAACUUCGGCCACCUGGAGGUGGUGCGCCUACUGCUACAGCACGGCGCGCGCGUCGGCGACCCGGGCGGCCAGCACUGCGGCGGCACC